AGACCCGAAACCCGGUGAUCUAGCCAUGGGCAGGUUGAAGGUUGGGUAACACUAACUGGAGGACCGAACCGACUAAUGUUGAAAAAUUAGCGGAUGACCUGUGGCUGGGGGUGAAAGGCCAAUCAAACCGGGAGAUAGCUGGUUCUCCCCGAAAGCUAUUUAGGUAGCGCCUCGUGAAUUCAUCUCCGGGGGUAGAGCACUGUUUCGGCUAGGGGGCCAUCCCGGCUUACCAACCCGAUGCAAACUGCGAAUACCGGAGAAUGUUAUCACGGGAGACACACGGCGGGUGCUAACGUCCGUCGUGAAGAGGGAAACAACCCAGACCGCCAGCUAAGGUCCCAAAGUCAUGGUUAAGUGGGAAACGAUGUGGGAAGGCCCAGACAGCCAGGAUGUUGGCUUAGAAGCAGCCAUCAUUUAAAGAAAGCGUAAUAGCUCACUGGUCGAGUCGGCCUGCGCGGAAGAUGUAACGGGGCUAAACCAUGCACCGAAGCUGCGGCAGCGACGCUGAUGCGUUGUUGGGUAGGGGAGCGUUCUGUAAGCCUGCGAAGGUGGCCUGUGAGGGUUGCUGGAGGUAUCAGAAGUGCGAAUGCUGACAUAAGUAACGAUAAAGCGGGUGAAAAGCCCGCUCGCCGGAAGACCAAGGGUUCCUGUCCAACGUUAAUCGGGGCAGGGUGAGUCGACCCCUAAGGCGAGGCCGAAAGGCGUAGUCGAUGGGAAACGGGUUAAUAUUCCCGUACUUGGUGUUACUGCGAAGGGGGGACGGAGAAGGCUAUGUUGGCCGGGCGACGGUUGUCCCGGUUUAAGCGUGUAGGUGUGUGUUCCAGGUAAAUCCGGUUCACUUUAACACUGAGGCGUGAUGACGAGGCACUACGGUGCUGAAGCAACAAAUGCCCUGCUUCCAGGAAAAGCCUCUAAGCAUCAGGUAACAUCAAAUCGUACCCCAAACCGACACAGGUGGUCAGGUAGAGAAUACCAAGGCGCUUGAGAGAACUCGGGUGAAGGAACUAGGCAAAAUGGUGCCGUAACUUCGGGAGAAGGCACGCUGACACGUAGGUGAAGUGAUUUACUCAUGGAGCUGAAGUCAGUCGAAGAUACCAGCUGGCUGCAACUGUUUAUUAAAAACACAGCACUGUGCAAACACGAAAGUGGACGUAUACGGUGUGACGCCUGCCCGGUGCCGGAAGGUUAAUUGAUGGGGUCAGCGCAAGCGAAGCUCCUGAUCGAAGCCCCGGUAAACGGCGGCCGUAACUAUAACGGUCCUAAGGUAGCGAAAUUCCUUGUCGGGUAAGUUCCGACCUGCACGAAUGGCGUAAUGAUGGCCAGGCUGUCUCCACCCGAGACUCAGUGAAAUUGAACUCGCUGUGAAGAUGCAGUGUACCCGCGGCAAGACGGAAAGACCCCGUGAACCUUUACUAUAGCUUGACACUGAACAUUGAGCCUUGAUGUGUAGGAUAGGUGGGAGGCUUUGAAGUGUGGACGCCAGUCUGCAUGGAGCCGGCCUUGAAAUACCACCCUUUAAUGUUUGAUGUUCUAACGUGGACCCGUGAUCCGGGUUGCGGACAGUGUCUGGUGGGUAGUUUGACUGGGGCGGUCUCCUCCUAAAGAGUAACGGAGGAGCACGAAGGUUGGCUAAUCCUGGUCGGACAUCAGGAGGUUAGUGCAAUGGCAUAAGCCAGCUUGACUGCGAGCGUGACGGCGCGAGCAGGUGCGAAAGCAGGUCAUAGUGAUCCGGUGGUUCUGAAUGGAAGGGCCAUCGCUCAACGGAUAAAAGGUACUCCGGGGAUAACAGGCUGAUACCGCCCAAGAGUUCAUAUCGACGGCGGUGUUUGGCACCUCGAUGUCGGCUCAUCACAUCCUGGGGCUGAAGUAGGUCCCAAGGGUAUGGCUGUUCGCCAUUUAAAGUGGUACGCGAGCUGGGUUUAGAACGUCGUGAGACAGUUCGGUCCCUAUCUGCCGUGGGCGCUGGAGAACUGAGGGGGGCUGCUCCUAGUACGAGAGGACCGGAGUGGACGCAUCACUGGUGUUCGGGUUGUCAUGCCAAUGGCACUGCCCGGUAGCUAAAUGCGGAAGAGAUAAGUGCUGAAAGCAUCUAAGCACGAAACUUGCCCCGAGAUGAGUUCUCCCUGAGACUUAGAGUCUCCUGAAGGAACGUUGAAGACGACGACGUUGAUAGGCCGGGUGUGUAAGCGC
rnacentral:rRNA from 1 species